AUGAUGAUAAUGAGACCUAGCCACAAACAGCAUAUGGGGCUAUUAUCGGAUGAUGUUUCCCGGGGCCCGAAGCUGUCUAAACCUUUGUCUUGUGUUGCGUCUCUCGAUUCCGCUCAACCCCUCUCAAGCUACCACAUAGAUGCGCUGGCCUCACGAAUAAAUUCUCUCACUAGGACAUCUGUCGUGACAAUUCCACGACAGUUGGCACCCACCGUGGGGCCUGCGCACGAUGGUGAUGAAUUUUUGGAGGGAUCUCUCCUAGGGUUUGAGAAGCUCGCGAUUUCGUCGGAUGAGAAAGAGCCGACAAGUUUGUUGUUUUGGAUCUGGAACAUGAUUCACUUUGGAGCCGGCGUAUACAAGAUUGAGAUCAAAGAAAUUAGGGUUGCGAUUGCGCACCCGCCGCCGCAGUUUGCAAUACAUCGAGACAAAGAGAAAAUCGAUGUUUGCUGUUGCACCAAUCCAUCAAAUCGCCGGGUCACCAAUGGCACAGACGUGGACGCGUAA
rnacentral:rRNA from 1 species